rnacentral:piRNA from 1 species
AUAUGAACUCAAUCCAGCAUUUGUA